rnacentral:ncRNA from 1 species
UAUCUUCAGGGCGGGGCGAAAUUCCCCACCGGCGGUAAAGUCCGCGAGCGCGUCAGCGUUGAAUCGGUGAAACUCCGAUACCGACAGUACAGUCUGGAUGGAAGAAGAU